GUUCCUGUAGCGCAAUAGGUAGCGUGUUGGACUUCUCAUCCAAAGGUCGUGGGCACGAAUACCACGUGGGAUG